AAGACUAUACUUUCAGGGAUCAUUUCGAUAGUUCGUUACUAGAGAAGUUUCUCUGACUGUGUAGAGCACCCGAAAACACGCGGAGAGAGGAAAUGUAGCGUUCUUUCCUGAAGCCAGUGUGAAGCUGGCUUUCAGUGUUGCUUUCUGCUACUUGCCACUGAUGAUCGUUCUUGAUCCUUUAUGAGGUUGAGAGGAAGAGAAUGCAGUCUGAGUG